UACGAAGGGGGCGAGCGUUGUUCGGAUUUACUGGGCGUAAAGGGCGCGUAGGCGGCCCUCCUUGUCGCGUGUGAAAGCCCCGGGCUCAACCUGGGAAUUGCGCGCGAAACGGGGGGGCUUGAGUUCGGGAGAGGAGCGUGGAAUUCCCAGUGUAGAGGUGAAAUUCGUAGAUAUCAGGAGGAACACCAAUGGCGAAGGCAGCACUCUGGGACGUGACUGACGCUGAGACGCGAAAGCGUGGGGAGCAAACAGG
rnacentral:rRNA from 1 species